GCGGCGAACGGGUGAGGAACACGUGAGGAAUCUGCCUUCCACUCUGGGAUAACUCCGGGAAACCGGGGCUAAUACCGGAUAUUUUCAACUGGCGGCAUCGCCGGUUGAAGAAAGUUUUUCGGUGGAAGAUGACCUCGCGGCCUAUCAGCUUGUUGGUGAGGUAAAGGCUCACCAAGGCGACGACGGGUAGCCGGCCUGAGAGGGCGACCGGCCACACUGGGACUGAGACACGGCCCAGACUCCUACGGGAGGCAGCAGUGGGGAAUAUUGGGCAAUGGAGGAAACUCUGACCCAGCGACGCCGCGUGAGGGAUGAAGGCCUUCGGGUUGUAAACCUCUUUCAGCAGGGAAUAAGCGAAAGUGAAGGUACCUGCAGAAGAAGCACCGGCUAACUAUGUGCCAGCAGCCGCGGUAAUACAUAGGGUGCAAGCGUUGUCCGGAAUUAUUGGGCGUAAAGAGCUCGUAGGUGGUCGAUCACGUCGGAUGUGAAAUUCUGAGGCUUAACCUCGGACCUGCAUUCGAUACGGGUUGACUAGAGUGUGGUAGGGGAGACUGGAAUUCCUGGUGUAGCGGUGGAAUGCGCAGAUAUCAGGAGGAACACCGAUGGCGAAGGCAGGUCUCUGGGCCAUUACUGACACUGAGGAGCGAAAGCGUGGGGAGCGAACAGGAUUAGAUACCCUGGUAGUCCACGCCGUAAACGGUGGGCGCUAGUUGUGGGAACCUUCCACGGUUUCUGCGACGCAGCUAACGCAUUAAGCGCCCCGCCUGGGGAGUACGGUCGCAAGACUAAAACUCAAAGAAAUUGACGGGGCCCCGCACAAGCAGCGGAGCAUGCGGCUUAAUUCGACGCAACGCGAAGAACCUUACCAAGGCUUGACAUA
rnacentral:rRNA from 1 species